rnacentral:rRNA from 1 species
CAGCAGCCGCGGUAAUGCGUAGGUGGCAAGUGUUGUCCGGAAUUAUUGGGCGUAAAGGGCUCGCAGGCGGUUUCUUAAGUCUGAUGUGAAAGCCCCCGGCUCAACCGGGGAGGGUCAUUGGAAACUGGGAAACUUGAGUGCAGAAGAGGAGAGUGGAAUUCCACGUGUAGCGGUGAAAUGCGUAGAGAUGUGGAGGAACACCAGUGGCGAAGGCGACUCUCUGGUCUGUAACUGACGCUGAGGAGCGAAAGCGUGGGGAGCGAACAGGAUUAGAUACCCGAGUAGUCCCUGUCUCUUAUAC